AUGGGCGAGAGGGCGAGGAGAGGGGGAAAAGUGGGUGGUUUAGGGUUCGCAACAGGGCGUCGCCGGCGUCUUGAAGUUGCUGGGAAGCCGCCGGAUGGUCGACCCGUGGCCGAUCCGAGCUGUGGACGACGCACGGGCGUCCACCGUGCCCCUGUGAACAGGAGGGACAUGGGCGGCAACCACGCCGGGCACCUCCACGCCUUCUGCCUGCUAGUCGUUGUCUACGUCUCCACUGGGAGGGUCGUCUGCCUUACGGAGGAUCUCAAGACCCCCACCCAGUAUCUGAGGACGUUUAAGGAGGCGAGCAGCUGUGACAUCGAGCUGCGCAAGCCCAUCCACGGCUCCCAACUGCACAACCUCCUCCAGAUCAUGAGGGGCCUCCAGGCAUCCCAUUUCCAGCACCUGCACCCAUUUCAGCUCGAGAUGCCGACGACAGAUCAGACCACUGCGUCGGUGUCCGAGAUCACGCCCGCAGUGCCCAUGGGACCAACCAGUGUUCAAGACGGCAAGCCAAUGGAGGGGAUGCGCGUGCUGCUGGUGGACGACACCAUGCUUCUACAAAGAAUCCACGGGUAA
rnacentral:rRNA from 1 species